rnacentral:rRNA from 1 species
GUGGGGAAUAUUGCGCAAUGGGCGAAAGCCUGACGCAGCGACGCCGCGUGAGGGAUGAAGGUUUUCGGAUUGUAAACCUCUGUCAGAAGGGAAGAAACUACGUUGUGCUAAUCAGCAGCGUACUGACGGUACCUUCAAAGGAAGCACCGGCUAACUCCGUGCCAGCAGCCGCGGUAAUACGGAGGGUGCAAGCGUUAAUCGGAAUUACUGGGCGUAAAGCGCACGUAGGCUGUAGUGUAAGUCAGGGGUGAAAUCCCACGGCUCAACCGUGGAACUGCCUUUGAUACUGCACAACUUGAAUCCGGGAGAGGGUGGCGGAAUUCCAGGUGUAGGAGUGAAAUCCGUAGAUAUCCGGAGGAACACCGGUGGCGAAGGCGGCCACCUGGACAGGUACUGACGCUGAGGCGCGAAAGCGUGGGGAGCAAACAGGAUUAGAAACCCGAGUAGUCC